UACAGAGGGUGCAAGCGUUAAUCGGAAUUACUGGGCGUAAAGCGUGCGUAGAUGGUUUUGUAAGUCGGAUGUGAAAUCCCCGGGCUCAACCUGGGAAUUGCAUUCGAGACUGCAAAGCUAGAGUGCGGUAGAGGGAAGCGGAAUUUCUGGUGUAGCGGUGAAAUGCGUAGAUAUCAGAAGGAACAUCAGUGGCGAAAGCGGCUUCCUGGACCAGCACUGACAUUGAGGUACGAAAGCGUGGGGAGCAAACAGG
rnacentral:rRNA from 1 species